GGGGGACAGAGCCCUGGGUCAGGUGGCAGAGCCAGAACCUCCUCAUCCCACCUUGAGGCUGGGUGAGAUGUCUCGUGAAUGUUAGGGGCUUUCAUGUACACAGGUCAUGGCCUGGCUCCUUGGACAUCCGCGGCCCUGGUCAGGAGCCUCAGCAUCAGACAAUAUAAACAUGCCCAAGACCCCUGCCCACACCUUCAGGUACACAUCGCCUCACAUGCCUGCCUGUACUUGUCCCCAACUGGCCCCAGUCCUGAAAGACAGGCGCCUGUGGGUGGCAGGAAACUCCAGUGCCAUGCUCCCAAGAAAUGAGCACUGGGGAGGAGGGUCGGCCCCAUGUGGCUCACAGGAUCCUGUCUCCUGUGGGACUGUCACCGGGCCCUCCCCAGAAAGAAAGUUUGUGCACUGGGCUCUAGGCAGUUGGGGGGGGGGUGCUUACACAGUACCCCACCCUUGUGUGUUUUGUUCCUUGUUUUAUUCCUAGGGCAGCACCUGGCACCUAGAAGGCACUCAAUGAAAGCUGUUGACUGAAUGAAUGCACGUAACCAGACUCCUCUGUGCACACACCCCACAACUCUCAUGUUUACUCAGGUGCUUUGCUCCUCAGCACUUGGGCACGUACCUGUGUGAGUGCACAUGCCCAGAGGUGCCCCACAGGCCAGCUCCCUUAGCCCACAGCCCCCACAUACAUGCUCACCCACAACGUUUCCCCUUGCCCCCGCCCCCCAGGGCAGGCAUGAAGCCCCUGGCCCAAGACUUCGGGGCAUGACCUGGAGCACCCCAGGCCUCCUGUAGCCCUGUUAGCCACACCCACUUCUGCCCUUUCUGCACCUUAUGAAAAGAAUACUAGUUGCAAAGUUAGCACUUUGCGGAGAGGGUGUGCGUGGGAGGCUCAGGCACUUCCUGGGACAGGUGCGUAGAGACCAGUGUCCAACCAAGGGCUCAGCCCAGAGCAGCCGCCCUACGUUUUUGUGGGCAGGUGGUCUGGGAGGCAGUCCACAGUGACCCCUGGGUGUGGCCAGGGGCCUCCUUCCCAUGAAAGGCUGUGGGGAACUGACCACAGAAUCAGGACAGAUACCAAGGGUAAGGAUAGCCUUGGAGAGGAAGCUGUCCUUGGGGCCUGGACAAAGCAGAAACCUCCCAGCAGAGGAGGAGGAUCAGGAGAGUACACCCAUCUCUUCCUCCUCUGGUCUUUGCCGAGAUGCUGUUCGGUGAGGGGAAGGGGGCAGACAGGGAUACGACGCUCUGCAGUCCAGGGGAAAGGUCCAGGCUGGAGAUCAAAACACAGGGUUAUCAGCACAUUGAUGGUUUUUAAAGCCACGAGGCUGCUCCAGCUGUCCGAUGAGGGAAUAUCAAGGGACAGGAGAGGUCUACUGCGUGACCCUGAGCACUCCAUGGUUGAGAGUUUGGGGAGAAGGGAGCGGCAGUGAGCCUCAGGAGGGCAGGUGGCUGCAAACCCCUGGGAACCUGCCUCCCCUACCCACAACUGUCAGCCAAAUCUGGAGGAAAGAGCCCUGUGUCUGGGCCCUGCACAGACCGGCCGGCCUCUCUUUUAGUCUCAGCUCCUGCCUGAAAGAUGAGGCGGCCCCUGGCCUCCAUGCCCACCGUCAGCUCCUUCCCCACUGCAGACUGGCAGAUGAGGAUGGGAAGCUGUUUCUGGGGCUCAGCCUGUGAGUCCAGGUGCCCCACCCCCACCCUGAGCUUCGGCUUCCUCGGGAACGCGUGGGGUUGGAGUGAGCAGAGUCAGCCAGUCCCGGUUCAGAAGCCCUGGCAUGCACCCCCGCCCCAGGGGCAUUCAGCCUCCGCACAGGGCUUUGUCCCAAACUGCCCUGGCCUUUUAUGUGACUGAGGCUGAAGAGGAAGGCGGAGGCAGCAACAAUGGGGCCGGGGGGCCGGUGGCGGGAAAUGGUCCUUAGAGACCCCAUUGUAUCACCCUGCCCUCCAGAAACGGUGCCCGACCCUGCAGAGGAGACCCCGCUCCCGUGAGGAUGAGCCAUGUCCGGAUGCUACGCACGUCUCAGGGCCCUCAGGACAGAGGGGGCCAUUCUUCCCCGAAGAUCGGACGGGGCCAGGAUGACUCUGCUGGGCUCCCAGCGGACCACAGAGGGAAGUCUGGCAUCCUGCCAGAUUGCACCGCCUUCCCUCACAGGCUAGGAGUGCUGUCUUCCUGCCUGUCCCCCAGUAAAGGACCCCUCCCUCCUCAGAUCUGGGGAGUUACAGCCCUUUUUCCGCUUGCAUUCUCACUUACGGAAGAACCUGGCCUCGAAGGUAGGAGCAGCAGAGCUGAGGAUCACGUGGAAGGAAGGGUCCCUGCUUCCCCCCAACCCAAGCAGCAGCUCGCCUUCAAGGCACGGGCACGGGCCACUCUCCCACUCACUAGCUGGGUGGCCUUAGACAAGGCACCACUGCCCAGAGCCUCAGUGUCCUACUCCGAAGCAGAAAUCGGAGCAGUGGGGCUGGGGGGUGCUUAGAUAGCCCAGGCUCAGGCAUGGGACACUCCAUCUACGCUGGCUAAUGACAUCAGUGUUCCUAUUGGUUGUGGCUAUCACCUCAGAAGCA
rnacentral:lncRNA from 1 species